UACGAGGGGGGCGAGCGUUGUUCGGAAUUAUUGGGCGUAAAGGGUGCGUAGGCGGUUUGGUAAGUCUGAUGUGAAAUCUAUGGGCUCAACUCAUAGUCUGCAUCGGAAACUGCCGGGCUUGAGUAUGGGAGAGGUGAGUGGAAUUCCUGGUGUAGCAGUGAAAUGCGUAGAUAUCAAGUGGAACACCAGUGGCGAAGGCGAGUCUCUAGACAUUUCCUGACGCUGAGGCACGAAAGCCAGGGGAGCAAACGGG
rnacentral:rRNA from 1 species